rnacentral:rRNA from 1 species
UACGUAGGUGGCAAGCGUUGUCCGGAUUUAUUGGGUUUAAAGGGUGCGUAGGCGGCUUAAUAAGUCAGUGGUGAAAGCCGAUCGCUUAACGAUCGAACUGCCAUUGAUACUGCUAGGCUUGAGUAUAGUUGAGGUAGGCGGAAUUGACAGUGUAGCGGUGAAAUGCAUAGAUAUUGUCAAGAACACCAAUUGCGAAGGCAGCUUACUAAAGUAUAACUGACGCUGAGGCACGAAAGUGCGGGGAGUCAAAACAGG